rnacentral:rRNA from 1 species
CAGCGCCGCGGUAAUACAGAGGGUGCGAGCGUUAAUCGGAUUUACUGGGCGUAAAGCGUGCGUAGGCGGCUUUUUAAGUCGGAUGUGAAAUCCCUGAGCUUAACUUAGGAAUUGCAUUCGAUACUGGGAAGCUAGAGUAUGGGAGAGGAUGGUAGAAUUCCAGGUGUAGCGGUGAAAUGCGUAGAGAUCUGGAGGAAUACCGAUGGCGAAGGCAGCCAUCUGGCCUAAUACUGACGCUGAGGUACGAAAGCAUGGGGAGCAAACAGGAUUAGAUACCCCUGUAGUCCCUGUCUCUUAUACA